AUUGAACGCUGGCGGCAGGCUUAACACAUGCAAGUCGAGCGGGGGAAGGUAGCUUGCUACCGGACCUAGCGGCGGACGGGUGAGUAAUGCUUAGGAAUCUGCCUAUUAGUGGGGGACAACAUCUCGAAAGGGAUGCUAAUACCGCAUACGUCCUACGGGAGAAAGCAGGGGAUCUUCGGACCUUGCGCUAAUAGAUGAGCCUAAGUCGGAUUAGCUAGUUGGUAGGGUAAAAGCCUACCAAGGCGAUGAUCGGUAGCUGGUCUGAGAGGAUGAUCAGCCACACUGGGACUGAGACACGGCCCAGACUCCUACGGGAGGCAGCAGUGGGGAAUAUUGGACAAUGGGGGCAACCCUGAUCCAGCAAUGCCGCGUGUGUGAAGAAGGCCUUCGGGUUGUAAAGCACUUUAGUUGGGGAAGAAGGUAUGUUGUUUAAGAGAUGAUAUAUUUGACGGUACCCAAAGAAUAAGCACCGGCUAACUCUGUGCCAGCCGCCGCGGUAA
rnacentral:rRNA from 1 species